CGCCUCGUGACUGGAGAGGGCCUCAUACAUAUUCUUGACGGUCUCGACGCAAAGCCUAUUCCUUGAACCCGUCCAUGUGAGCGGUGCCCCUCAACUGCGAAUAUCUGCUACCGCUUGCAGGAGCGCCUCGACUGAAGGGGUUGCCCGCUGCUUACAGUGGUUUGCGCGCAUCAUCACCCCGGCUCAAACGUGCGCUGAGCUCGGAUUCGUCGACCUGGACAGCUACCUCGUCCACUCGUCGAGCCUGGCACCUUCACUGGCAUCUUCACCUCUUACAGGCAUCCUUGACAACCGUCUCAAUCGCCUGAGAAGCAUCGUCUUGAGUGCAUGAUCCCCCCUCCCGCCAAAAACGAAAAGAAAAAACACCACGAUACCCUGACAAACGGGCGGAAAGUCUACUCCGGAAACGGGAGCAGAUUGUCGUAAGAGAUCCGCUACGACGACGUCAGCACUCGACAUUGCUCUUGCUGUCAUUCUCUUCGUCUCUCGUCUCUUCUUGUGCAGUGCUUUCUUGCACUGUUUGGUUCUGCCCUCGAUCGUCUGUUUCACCUUCGGUCCUGUGCUACAGGCGGCAGCAAACAACGGCGCCCGCUGUCCUCACCUGAUCAGCAAGGAAACGGUAACCCUGCUUCCCCUCCAAGCAAGGGAAAACAUGGUGUAAACAGCGGUGCGCUGUGGGGCCCCCGUCUCUGAGUCUUUACAGCUGCCAGUGGGCUCUUGCACGCUGUUUUCUGCGUUCCCAGUAUCUGACCAGGACCGUUUCACCCCCUGAGAAGAACGUGGCAGUGGCUCACGGUGCACGAUCCCGGGUGCAAGCCGCUCGCUACUUGCUUCGUAUCUGCAUGCGUUGCGUAUGAACGAGUGCUCCGCUUCCAAGAUUUACCUCCUGCGAAGGAGGUGGUGUGCUACCGGUGGCCAGCUUGUAGCCCGCUUGCAACUGACGAACCAUACUGCCGCAUGAAGGGCCCUCUUUGAAUGAGGACGCUGCGGUGGCCCUGCGUACCGGUGUGGCGGUGUCUGUGGGGAAGCUGUGUGGCACUUGGCUGUGGCCUUUUCCUUCGUGAGGGCCUUCGUCGUAUGCUCUCCAUUCUCAGGGGAUGCAAAAUAUCUCUUUUGCGCAGGGACAAACGCUCUUCUUCACCCUUCAGUGCUCGUCCCUCGCCCUCUUUUCUUCCGCUCACUCGUCUGCUGCCUUCUCAAACGCCAGCCUUUGCAGCAGCGCUGAACCGCCUUGGUCGUGGUUCUCAGUGGCUUUGCGCGCCCCGUCUCCGUAGCGGGGCGACCACGAGAGAGAGGUUGCUGCGUCUGUGCAGGCGCCGGGGCGCGCAGCUCGUUGAAGGAGGGGGAGGGACGCCUAC
rnacentral:misc_RNA from 1 species